rnacentral:miRNA from 1 species
AAGUUCUGUGAUACACUCAGACU